rnacentral:rRNA from 1 species
GUGGAUUAGAUACCCUGGUAGUCCUGGCAGUAAACGGUGCACGUUUGGUGUGGGAGGAUUCGACCCCUUCUGCGCCGGAGCUAACGCGUUAAACGUGCCGCCUGGGGAGUACGGUCGCAAGAUUAAAACUCAAAGAAAUUGACGGGGGCCCGCACAAGCGGUGGAGUAUGUGGCUUAAUUCGAUGCAACGCGAAGAACCUUACCUGGCCUUGACAUGCAUCUCUAAGUUGGUGAAAGCCAGCGAGUCUCGAAAGAGACAAUUUGCACAGGUGCUGCACGGCUGUCGUCAGCU